CCAGCCUGCCCCUCGCGCCCCUCCGCCAGGCCCUGGGGCCUUGCCCUCCCAGGGCCUAGCACGCCGGAAUCGCCGGGCACGCUGGGAAGGGUCAGGCUCCGGCGGGAAGGCGGAGCCGUUGGGGAGCAUGAAGGAAAGCGUGGUCUCUCCGGGAAAAACCACAUCCACCCGAGCGCUGACCCGGAGCCCGUAACAGAAGGAGGCGGGCUGAGGAAGCGCGACCGGCCCAGCCGGUCUAAUCGUCCUCGAAUGCUGGGGAGGAGCACAGCGGACGUGGAAGGACAAGGAAGGGUGCUGAGAGCAGGGACUGGGCAGCGAGGCCAACUUGGGCAGCCAGACUCCGAGGGAUUGUCUCUUUACUAUGUCCUCCCUACGCUGAGGCUCCAGACUCCCACAGAAGAUGGCAUUUAUUAUUCCAACAAUAGCCUUUGAUGGAACACCUCAGGGAAAUGUUCAAGAAGAGAGAUUUGUUCACUCUAAAGAGAACUGUUCUAAGUAUCCUAGGUUUCAUUAUUACACUUGUGAAGGAGAAAGCCCAUCUAUAAAGCUUUUUCUAACUUUCCAAA